AAAGCUGCCUUCUGUAUCUCCAAUGGCAGCCUCGGCCCGGAAGAGAGAAAUUCUAUGAUUUUCUUCCUUUCUUUUGAGUGUUAGAUCUCUGUGAGUAUCAUUAUUGCGUGAUUGUUUGAUUUUCUAUUGUUGAUUUAGCAACGGAGGAAGAAGCCUUAUGUUGCGAUUCUCUGGUCGGCCAAAAUCUUCAUCCGGAGAAAUGGAAAUCGAUCAGAGAGUCUGAUGUUAGGCAAUGCCGAAGAUCGUUACUGUACAGUUCUCGACCUUGGCUUUAGAAGGAUAGUUGACCAAGCUCUUGCCUUGGGUGGUACCUCUUGAUGGCGCACGUCAAGGAAGUUCCUCUUAGGGCACCUAUGAAGGUCAUGCACGAGACAACGAUCCAAUGGACCUCCAAAGACUAGAAAGCAAACGAACCUCCCAUUCUUCAGUGAAUGAUAAGCCUGGAGUCCACCUCCAUCUCCGUGAAUGCUUAGGAAGGUUUGCCACUGCUUUCCAGUAAUCUUGAUUAAUGUUCCUUUCAAACCAAAUGUAAGGUGAAUCAUUAAAUUACUGAAGAUUUAGUACGAACAAGACAAAUCCAUUCAACUUAGUCCAU